GAUGAAGAACGCAGUGAAAUGCGAUAAGUAAUGUGAAUUGCAGAAUUCAGUGAAUCAUCGAAUCUUUGAACGCACCUUGCGCCCUUUGGCCAUUCCGAAGGGCAUGCCUGUUUGAGUAUCAUGAACACCUCAACUCUUUAUGGUUUUCCAUGAUGAGCUUGGACUCUGGGGGUUUUGCUGGCUCACAGUCGGCUCCUCUAAAAUGAAUCAGCUUACCAGUGUUUGGUGGGUAUCAUGGGUGUGAUAACUAUCUACGCUUGUGGUUUUUCCACCAGGUAACCUUCAGCAGUGGAGGUUCGCUGGAGCUCAUAGCUGUCUCUCCUCAGUGAGGACAGCCCUUUGAAUGUUUGAUCUCAAAUCAGGUAGGACUACCCGCUGAACUUAAGCAUAUCAAUAAGCGGAGGA
rnacentral:misc_RNA from 1 species